AUAACAGCUGGAAACGGCUGCUAAUACCGCAUAAGCGCACAGAGCUGCAUGGCUCGGUGUGAAAAACUCCGGUGGUAUGGGAUGGGCCCGCGUCUGAUUAGGCAGUUGGCGGGGUAACGGCCCACCAAACCGACGAUCAGUAGCCGGCCUGAGAGGGCGACCGGCCACAUUGGGACUGAGACACGGCCCAAACUCCUACGGGAGGCAGCAGUGGGGAAUAUUGCACAAUGGGGGAAACCCUGAUGCAGCGACGCCGCGUGAGCGAAGAAGUAUUUCGGUAUGUAAAGCUCUAUCAGCAGGGAAGAUAAUGACGGUACCUGACUAAGAAGCCCCGGCUAACUACGUGCCAGCAGCCGCGGUAAUACGUAGGGGGCAAGCGUUAUCCGGAUUUACUGGGUGUAAAGGGAGCGUAGACGGCAAGGCAAGUCUGAUGUGAAAACCUAGGGCUUAACCCUGGGACUGCAUUGGAAACUGUCUGGCUCGAGUGCCGGAGAGGUAAGCGGAAUUCCUAGUGUAGCGGUGAAAUGCGUAGAUAUUAGGAAGAACACCAGUGGCGAAGGCGGCUUACUGGACGGUAACUGACGUUGAGGCUCGAAAGCGUGGGGAGCAAACAGGAUUAGAUACCCUGGUAGUCCACGCCGU
rnacentral:rRNA from 1 species